UCAGCUGACUUGAAUAAGAGGAAACAAAGACAUGCUUGUAAGACAGUUGCAGUGGUAUUUAGCUUGUGGGUGCUGCAUUAGUUUGCUUGUUUACUUGCAUUUUCUUUAAUGCCUAGAAAAGAAAGCCUGGACUUCUAAAGGCCACCCAUCCACUACAUAUAGCAAAGAUAUCUCAGCUGCAGCCAGAAGAGUUGGUCAGCUCAUCUAGAAAAGGCUGGUUAGAGUGAAUCCAAAGAAACGGUGCAACAUGAAUGGUACCUGUAUCCUGUGGGGACUCAUUUGGCUGAUCGUACUCUUCUUCAUUGGAUGGCCCAUAAGCAUUUUCUUAGGAGGACUCUAUGGAUUCUUCUCUCCUCUUACGACUUUGAUAGGUCUAGAUGACGUCAGUGAUUUUUUACUGAGGGGAGUAAACGUGGGAAGGGAGUGUGCUAAGAAUGUACACAAUGGAAGGCCUUUGUGUUAAUAUUGAGGACCAACUAACAAUCAAUCUUCUGUGUUCAGUAGUGGGUUUUACAGCUGUUUAAAUGUAUUACAAAUGUUUCUGCCUUUUAUAACAUACGAUUGACAUUGGUGUUUCUAUUGUCAUUUCAAUCAUUUCUCUGUAACCCUGUGUACUGAAACUAGAGAUCUCUAAGUUUUGUAAACAGAAUACCAUGAUCUUAAACCAUCAAAAUUCAAGACCUUAGAAACAAAUACAUUAUAUUUGCUAUGUCCACAGUCUACAAAUACCUAUCCCAAAUCUUUCCUAGAAAGAUAAUGUUCUGCUUCUUCCAGUGGGGAAAACUGAUUUCUGGUUUUUGUCUUUUUACAUAUAGUACAUUAAUUACAGUUCAGAGUUGAGUUGCUCAUUGAAAGCUAGUACUUCAUUUCUGCAUUCAGUUACUAUGUUAUCUAUUAAUCUGCAGUAAUAGCAUCACAGUUUAUAAUUAAAUGCACUAUGAAUUUCCUUUAGAAGACAUCGUUUUAUAGGGGUUCUUUAUUGUACUUUAAUACAUCAUUUAUAAUAAUAAUAAAAACAUAAUAAAACUACUUC